rnacentral:lncRNA from 1 species
GGCACAACUAGUCGAUAUUUCCUAGCCUGCUUUUCAGUUAAAUGAGGCGCACAACUGAGCUCUCACCAAUGGAAUCCAGGAGCUCACAGGUGACACAGAGAGACAGAGAGAUUAAAAUGCAAAAGGAUGCAAUUAUGAUGGGAGUAAAGAGAAAUUUGAAGAUGUACAUUUUGAAGACAGAGAAAAUUGCCACAAGCCAAAAAAUAAGGACCGCACAUACAAACUGAAAAAGGCAAGGAAACAAAUUUUCUCCUCAGAACCUCCCGGAGGAACCAGCCCUGACAACACUUCGACUUUAGCUCACUGUGACUACUUAUGGACUUCUGACCACCAGAACUGAUAAAGAGUAAACUUAUACUGUUAAAGAAGAUACAUUUGUGGUAAUUUGUUAUAGUAACAAUAAGAAAUGUGUGUGUGUAUCUAUAGGAAUACUAUUUAUGUAAAAACACAUUUAUAUGAUGCUUAUUAUAGCC